AUCAGGGGCCCUGGAAAGGGCCUUCGGACCGGACUCUAACCUACCCACCUGAGCCGAUUCGUGUCUGUAACGCCCACAAGGCAGCCUGACGAGAUUGCGACUGGAACGAAGAAGUUGUCCCGAGGGACGGAAGCGCAUCUGGCAACACGGCACCCCCUGUACGCUCGCACCACCGCCACGAUCGGUGGGUGUUCGCGCCCAGGCCAUGCCUGGCCAACCUGCC
rnacentral:ncRNA from 1 species